GACUGGAUUUCUCAGUGGGUCAAAAGGUGUGGGUGAUGCAACCCAAACCCAGACAGAGGCUAGCCUCACUUUUAGGAGCAAAGGGCAUGUCACAGAGGGUGACUCCUACUAUUAAAGUAGAGCAGUCAGAGUGUGCCCGCUGCCUGUGCCUUUGCUUCCGCCUCUAUUGUGGAAAUCAGCUGCGCUCUCCUCACUAGAUCAAACUGGCAUCUGCAGGCCUGCUCGUUUUGCCCAAGGGCCUCUUUUCAGUGCACAGUGGUCAGAGGCGAGUUUGGGUGCAACCCAAGCACAGAGCCUGUUUAUGUUGAAGGUGACAGAAGCGCACUGCGGCCCAGUGGGCUGCGACUGGGGACUCCAGCACUGACGUCCCGAGGACUUCUGGAAAAAGAGUUUCAAAAAGUAGCUCACUUUAUCCACAAAGGUAUAGAACUGACUCUGCAGAUUCAGAACGACGUCGGUGUCAAGGCCACCCUGAAGGAGUUCAAGGAGAAACUAGCCAGGGAUGAGAAACACCGUGGGGCUGUCCAGGCCCUCAGGGAGGAGGUGGAGAGCUUUGCGUCUCUUUUCCCUCUGCCCGGCCUGCCUGCCUUUUAGAGGAGCCACCGGCCUGCCCUUGCCCCAACACUGGAACAUUAGGAGUAUCCAGGGCGCUUACCCAGGGAGGGACACAGUGCCCUUCUCAGGAGAGAAGCACCACCCCACCCAGGACCUGGUCAACUUCUCCGUGCUCUCGGAGGUUUCUUUGGGACUUUUCUCACGUUAUCUUCACAAAUCAAAAUCUGUUUAAACACCAUUGUUAGUAAUUCUGGGAAAAAUUAUUAAGGAGUUUGAAUCUAAACCUCACUUUCUCACAGCUCUAUAUAUAGUCAUUCUGGAAAAAUUAAAUAUGAUUUAGCCUUAAUUCAUUUAGACAGUGAGGUAGGGCAGAGCUAUUGGAAAGAUUCCAGUAAUUUUAUCUAUCCUUCUCUUAGUUACUGGGCUUCCUCUGACUCACUGCAGCAAAUAAGAAACACCUAAGUUCAUACCUUGCAAAAGCUGCCCAUAUUCUAUUACUCGGUGGGGCACCAAAGAACUGAAUCAUGACCUUACAACUGAAAAGGGAAGUUCCAGAGCUUCUGCUAUGUGCUUUCAAUCAGAACUCUUGAGUUAGACACGUCUAUACAAGGUGCCCCCAGCAUGCGGGCUGCCCUGUUAGCAGCUCAGUACACUGUGGAAAUGGUCUUCACCCUUCACCCCUGGGCAGGUGGGAGAGCCUAGGGUACUAAUCCUCUCCUGGUCUGAGCAUCAGCCAGGGGCUUUCCCCGCCCUGCGUGAGACAACUCCCUCCUGUAAUCAGGAAACCAAAUGUCACCUUCCCAAAGAAACUUUAUUUUUCAUAAAGCUGAAAUGCAAAACAUAAAUGACCCUUUUUAAUAAGCACAAUCAAAAGUUUAACCACAGAAUGUCUACAAGAAUUAUAGCUUUAAAAAAUACAACCAAUUUUAUAUUUCAAAAAUAACUCAAAUAAAUUAAUUUCUUAAAAAGUACACUUCUCGUACUAUGUUUGGCAUUGGCUCUGGUUGAACUCUGGUGUCACCAUACCUAGGAGCUGCUGUCAGGUCUGUCAUAGUCCUGCUCUCACCACUGUGAUGAUGCAGCUCAUGUCAGAUUCACAUUCACAGACAUGGACAGAGAAACAUGCAGUAAUAAAAUACUUUUCAAAAAAUAA